AUGCCUUAAACUAAUGAGUAAGGAAAAUAACGAACCUGGGUAACGCCAGGUUCCAGGACACAUCGUUCCUGAGGAAUUUUUGUCCGGGUACAGGUCUUCCUCAGAUGACCUGCCUACUUUCGCGGGAUGUCUGCCAGAGAAAGAUCUGCCCG